AGCUCAGUUGGGAAAAGCAGAGGACUGAAA
rnacentral:tRNA from 1 species